rnacentral:miRNA from 1 species
GUGGUUUCUCUGGUGCUAUAAG